rnacentral:misc_RNA from 1 species
GAACGCACCUUGCACCCUCUGGUAUUCUGGAGGGUAUGCCUGUUUGAGUGUCAUUAAUCUCUCAACACAAGAAAACUUGUUUCUUGUGCUUGGAUAUUGAAGGUUUUGCUGGCGCAAAUAACUGUCAGCUCCUUUUAAAUGCAUUAGCAGAGCAGUGUAGGACUGGCCUCAGUUUGAUAAGAAAUAUUUAUCUAUGCUGUCGCUAGAUUUCCUCUUUGUGUUCAGCUUCAAACUGUCUUCGGACUGUCUCUCUUGAGGCAAAACAAUUCAUUGAUCGACCUCAAAUCAGGUAGGACUACCCGCUGAACUUAAG